rnacentral:lncRNA from 1 species
AUUGAACCCAGGGCCUUGUGCAUGUGAGGCAAGUACUCUACCAACUGAGCUAUAACCCCAGCCCCCAUUCUUUCUUUAUUUUUAUUUAUACAUGACAGUGGAAUGCAUUACAAUUUUUAUUACAUAAAUAGAGCACAACUUUUCAUAUCUCUGGUUGUAUACAAAGUAUAUUCACACCAAUUUGUGACUUCAUACAUGUACUUUGGAUAAUAAUGAUCAUCACAUUCUACCAUCAUUUCUAACCCCAUGCCCCGUCCCUUCACCUCUAACCCCUCUGCCUUUUCUAGAGUUCGACUAUUCCUCCCAUGUUCCCUCUCCCACUAUGAAUAAGCCUCCUUAUAUCAAAAAAAGGUAUACUCAUAAACUGCUGGUGGGACUGCAAAUUGGUGCAACCAAUAUGGAAAGCAGUAUGGAAAUUUCUUGGAAAAUUGGGACUGGACCACCGUUUGAACCAGCUAUCUCUCUCCUCGGUCUGUACCCAAAGGACUUAAAAACAGCAUACUACAGGGACACAGCCACAUCAAUGUUUAUAGCAGCACAAUUCACAACAGCUAAACUAUAGCACCAACCUAGUUGCCCUUCAGUAGGUGAGUGGAUUAAAAAAAAUGUGGCAUAUACACACAAUGGAAUAUUACUCAGCAAUAAAAGAGAAUAAAAUCAUGACAUUUGUCGGUGAAUGGAUGGAGUUAGAGAAGAUAAUGCUAAGUGAAGUUAGCCAAUCCCAAAAAACCAAAUGCCAAAUGUUUUCUUUGAUAUAAGGAGGCUUAGUCAUUUACCUUUUUAAUAUGCCUACCUCUAAUUUUUCCCCUAAACUUUUUUGCAAUGCUGGUGAUCAGUCCCAGGGCCUUGCACACACUAGGCAUCCCCUAAAAUCAUUAUUAGAAGUAUAUAUAUUUCCUCUCAGUACUUUCAGAUACACAAGGUUUAAUUUAAAAAAAAAAAUUAAUUUAAAUUCCUUCUGGAGCCUUCCUUGGCUCCAUGUUGGAUUGGUUGUCAGAGGCUCUCUAGCCUCCUAAGUCUCCUAAAGCUUCCCUUUACAAACACUCUGGGAAUUUCAUUAGUCUCUGUUAGGUCCCAUUUCUUUCUCUCUUUGUUACCUGAUAAUUGUUUAGAAUCUUCUUAUAAAUUUUGAAUUCCAGCCUAGACAAGUCACUCAUCUUUGGGGCUGAAAACGUUCACUUCAGCAUGAUAGGAAGGAGUAAAUGUCACAUCAAGCAUCUAGCCUACUAUCUGGACCAUAAUGUAGGUAUUCAGUAAGCAGUCAUGAUUUCUAAUCCAUAACUUUAAUAUCCUUGAGAGACACUGUGUUCUGUUAUGUUUUGACAGCUUCUUGCCUCCAAUCAUGGUCAAGUGCCUGGCACAUACAUGGUGGUUACAAGGGAAACAUUCAACUUUUAGGUAGCUGGGUUGGAUAUUUAGCUGAAAACAUGGACAUAGGAUUUCAAAAGCCAGAAAUGGAUCUUCCGAAUUUCUUAGCACCUUUCUUCCCUUUUGUGUGUGUGUGUGUGUGUGUGUGUGUGUGUGUGUGUGUGUUUAAUCUUUGCUGUUGGCUAC